rnacentral:rRNA from 1 species
CAGUCGCCACGGUAAUACGGAGGGUGCAAGCGUUAAUCGGAAUUACUGGGCGUAAAGCGCACGCAGGCGGUCUGUCAAGUCGGAUGUGAAAUCCCCGGGCUCAACCUGGGAACUGCAUUCGAAACUGGCAGGCUAGAGUCUUGUAGAGGGUGGUAGAAUUCCAGGUGUAGCGGUGAAAUGCGUAGAGAUCUGGAGGAAUACCGGUGGCGAAGGCGGCCCCCUGGACAAAGACUGACGCUCAGGUGCGAAAGCGUGGGGAGCAAACAGGAUUAGAUACCCCUGUAGUCCCUGUCUCUUAUAC